UGAAUACGAACCUUUUCAGCUAUUUCCUGGUAUGCGGCCUUAUACUGAGGCGGUAACAGACGAAGUAAGAGGAGAAUUGCAUCUGUUAAUUUCCCAUACAAUGAUUCCAUUGAAAUUAUUACUUGUACAGAUUAGUAUACGACUACGCGCAGCUCGGUGUAACAACGACAAAUUUUGAUUUGAGGUAAUUUUCAUUCGUAAAAACGAUGUGUAUAGCAUUUUGUAGCAGGGAGCUGGACACAAUUCGUAAUAACGUUGAAAAGUUUAUCUAACGAUCAGAAUGGCAUUUAGCAGCAGGGAUAAGCCAUGAAAGAAGCCUAAUCUACAUGCCUGCCAAGGAAAAAGGAUACCGAUCGCAUAGAGUCCAAUUUGACCUAAUAUGCUGCAAUGAAAAAUACCAAUUAGACAAGAAAACACGCUAAGUUUACCGGCGGCAAGCAAUCGUAUGAAACAGUCAGUUGCUGCAAAGAAAAAUUGGAAGGACACAUGGAAAUCGAUGCCGCCAUACACGUGUAAAUUAUAUUAUUAUGUAUGAAAAACAUGAUUACCUGUUCCCUUGAAGAACUUUCCUGAAUGCUGGAGUUCUCGAAACAUUUCCGACAUUGUUCGAAAUUCACUGGGACGAAGACAUUCUGAUGAUCGUCAAAAAAUAAGAGAAGUUGCGUCAACCAAAAAACAUCUACUUUUUAGUGGUGUUUCUUCACAGAAUGUAUUGCUUCAUUGCUAGAGAAAAGAACGGUUCUGUUAUAGCAAACUCUAUUAUUAAACAAAAAGAACACUGCAGAAGGACCAGUUAUGUUCAGGUAAAGAAAUUUAUGUAGGACGUACCUUGUAGAUAGGAUGAUUCAAUAGCCGACAUCGUCGCGCCAUAACCUCUUUGUACGACAACUAGAUAAAAAGUCAAAGUAAGCAAUGCCCUCAUCAUAACUGCACUAUAGACAAGAAGGUGUCGACACCAAGCUAAUAUUACUUAAUAACACGAGAUUUCAUGGAUAUCGACGAGUUUUUUUUUUGUAACUUUUUGUAAAUUUGACCGGUGAAACGAUUCGCUAUAAUGAUGAUGAUUAUCAGAGCUUUCAAAGCUAUAGUAAGUAGGCAGCUAAAUCGCGAGCUGAAGUAAAAUAUCACCGAUUCAGCUCUCUUACACACGCACAUGCGAGUAACUGAUGAAGAACGUUUUGUGUAGCCUUAAUAUCUUGUCGUAUACAUACACUGGGC